GAGAUUUUUAAGAGCAGGUUAGACAAACACCUGUCAGGAAUGGCCUAGAUGAUGAUUAUUCCUGCCAUGAGUGUAGGGGACUGGACUAGAUGACCUCUCAAGGUCCCUUGCAGUCCUAUGAUUCUGGGAUAAAGGUUAAUGGGAAGAGAAGCAACACCAGCCAUAAUCUCUAUUGCUGCAGUGUGGGAGUGUGAAUAUUUGGAGCAAAGAUUUAACAACUUAAAGAUGGAGACCUGUUUUAGUUGCUUCAUACUUCAGCAAGAUCCUCCUUAGCUGUGUCAUCUUUCUUCUUAAUAUUACCUAUUGCUAGCUAAUGCAUGCCCAAGCAACACCAACUGUCUAGAUUUAUUUGUAUUUACUCUGAUGCAGAGGCAUUUGUCCUAAUGUUUUUAAAGUUUAACUUCUCUGAAGUGAUGGUUUCACAAUUAAACUUCAAAAACAAAUGUAAAUGCUUGAUGAAUUAAUGUAAUUCUUGUGAAUAAAAAUUUUUACACAGAUGGGGUGCAAUAUAUUUUAGAUUGCAGGGCAUAAAUUAAUAUUAAUCUUCUUUACUUAUUUUUCUCAAUAAAAUAGUCACCUGUAAUGAAAGACCUCUAGGACAAGUGUUGCCUCUCUUGUAAGAAUAAAAUAGUCAACUUUUUUUCUGGUGUUUAUGUGCUAGGUUAGGUGCUGGAGAUGUUGACAGUGUAUUAUAUUGAAAACUUAAUUAUUUUUUUUAAAGGAAAGGCCUUCCUUUUGCCUUCCUCAUAUCCAGUCCUGAUAUGCUGAGAGAACAUGUCAAAUAUUCAGCAAAGACAUGGGGGUGGUGCAGUGAAAGAUGAUCAGAGAGACAUGAAACAUCCCAAGGCAAUAUAAGAAGGCAAAGCUGUUUUCUCUAUAGCUAAAGAAAACAAUAUCAGUGGGAGCUUGACUGAGCCCCUAUGGAAGGCUUGCAGGAUCAGCACAAAAAAAAAAUCCUGACAUAUCACAUACCGGAGUUGUGAAGUGAACAUCAAUUCUAAAGUACCUGUGGCUUUAGUAGCUCUGACAUGAGCCUCAGGUUUGAGACUAUGGUUCCCAGGCUACGGGAGGAGGCCUGCAUUCAUAGCUGCCUAGAGAAACAUCCAACAAUAACCCAGGCUAGAGUGGAAGGAGGAAAGAUGGCUUCAGAAUGAAAGGUGAGGGCAUCCACAGAACCUUGCUCAAUGUGACUUCACCUGAAGACUUUAUCCUUGCAUGUUUCAGGGCAGGCGGGAGCCUAUAGGAUAGGGAGCAAAUAAUGAUUUGUACGAAUAUCUUCUAUGGAAGGGCUGUGGGGUCUCUCUAUGGCCACUUAGCUCUAUAAAAGCAUUUAUCACAAUCAAAGAAGAAAACUUUAAAUACAGCGUUGAUUGAGCCAUUGUAUACACAGAACACAGCAACUUUUAUAUUUUGCUGCUAGGCAAACACUACAACAAAAACUAAGUAGCCCACAAAGGAAAGAUUGAAUUUUAGUUUUAUGAUAAAGUACCAGCACCUGAAUAUGGUCAUUUUCUGUUAAUCUUUGGCUAAAAUGUCUCAGUGUGUAAGUAAACAGAAUUAUAAAGUGAUGAGUUUUAGGAGAUGUAUACACACACAGAAAGUUAGGGACCUAGCUCCCUUGGCCCCUUUGAAAAUCCUGGCCUACAUCUUUAUUAAAGAUGUAGACAUUUGGUGAAAGGAGUUUAGUCUUAAAACAUAACCCCUUUAAAUAAGUUAGGAUAAUAUAAUUUUACAUUUGUAUCAAGAAUAUGUGGAAUUGUAAGUACAAGAUAAGGAGAAAUGUAGAAAUUUCAAGUUUUAACUUUUUAUUUCAAAGUCAUAAAUAACAGUGGUUUCAUUUUUACCAUGUGUUGAUUCCUGUCCCCUGACAAUGGGGUAUGAAUGUAUAGUACCAGCUCCAAAAGGACUUCAAGUAAAUCUUAAGAUGACAACACUAAUUAAAUCAUUGACUGGCAGUUGGAUCCUCUUCACUUUUUAGGAAAACAGAAAAGCAUUUAACCCCCAUCCCCAAUUGCUGAUUAUCACUUUUUUUCCUGCCUUUUAGCAGUUUAUAAGCCAGGGAAAAGAUUCUUAGCAGCAUCAGACAGGACUAACCUGCUUCCUGUACACGAGGACAGCAGCAUAUUAACUCAUGAAAUCACAAAGGGAAAAACAACUCAGUGGCAGUGUCCCCACAACAGUUUCCCAAUGUUUUUCAAUUCUCCGCAGAUAAAAUGUUUGCAAAUACAUCAGUAGUAGUCCACAAACACUUUACACAAGGUUUCAGUAAACAAUCAACAUUAAUAAAUAGCAUUUCCUCCUUUCAAAAAAGGAAAUUUUUGAAGAAAAAUAAAACAUUUGGCUUGCACGCAAUUUUGGUGCACUUUGAAAGCAUCAGGUUGAAUGUUAAAAUCUUGAAAUGAGCACCUGCUCUUAUCUACACAUUUUACCUAGUAAACAAAUACAAACAUCAUGGCUUUCUAUUAAAAUAUUCAAAUCUAUUAAGAACAGGAGUCCAUAAUAGGAGCACUGCAUUAAAAUCCAUUGCCUCUGAUUUAACAAUCUAAUUUAAAAUAAAAUACCGUGUUUUCUUUAAACUCAAAUUGAAGAUUGUUUUGUGCUGCUGUCUUGUAAGCCCAGAAGUUUUAGCCAAAAUGAACCUAAUUUUUGAAGUGAAUGGACGGCCUGUAUUGCAAUUUCAGAGUUCUUCAGUCCCCUCAUGAUUCUUGGUAGGUCCUCUUCUGUGAGGCUUUUCCCUGAGCCAUGUAUUUAUUGGCAAGGCUGCCUAAACAGAAACCAAAAAAGAAAGAGUCACAUUAUUGAGGUUGUAACAAAAUAGAAAAACAAUGAUCUGAACACAAAAACAAGCCACGCUUCCAAAAUCUUAAGCAUGCUCCACAUUGCAUGUUCCAUAGGGGGAAAAGAACAAACUGGACAUACUUGGUCUGAGCCAGAUUAGAUUCAACCAUGGUAAACUAAAGAUUGACACUUCAACCUCUGACUUUCAGAGGGUCAGGGAACACCUAUUCCUCUGCUGAAAGAGCUUUGAGUCUCCAUCCGACAAAAAUCAGACUGCUAUAAGGUGUCAAGCUUUGGGCAUGCAAAAAAACAUGGUUAAUCACUAGUCAUUUCUUAAAACUUGGCCAUAAUACCAGAUUAAAAUUGAUUUUUUGAAACAGGUGUGUAAGGGGGUUACCGUCCUAUUCUGCUUUUAACACUGAAUGCAGAGUCAGGAUCUGGUGCAACUAUAGCUCUUUACUAAGGGAUCUUUUUACUUAGGUAGUGGUUUUCAUUGUUUUUAACUAUCCUUUGUCAUGAUCUGAUAGUUGGUUUGUACAAAGAACCUACUUUAAUACCCUGGCCCCAAAGAAAUUAAUUGAUCCUGUGGAUUUCUAGAGGGUGAUUUAGGGUUCUUUGAAGGAGGUCUCACAUAUGGUCCUUGACAGGAACACUCCAAGAUGCAUAAAAAGACUCAAGUAGGCAGAAACAGGAGCACAGAAGGAAAAGAAUUGAUACAAACAAAAAUA